GACACAAAAAUAUCCAAUCAACAACAACAACGACGCUUCGACAAAUGUAAAUAAAUGAAAAAUAUUAAUCAUUCUUAUUGUAUUGGAAUUAGAUUUUAGGGUCCAACCUGAGAGUAGCGGUCAGUCAAGAGAAAUUGCAGAGUGACCUUUGUAUACAGGUGACCGUUGUUCUCAAUGUCCAUUUUUAGAUGGUAGCGCUUGUCACCAGCGCAGGUAUCCCCCUUCUCAACUACUGACUGGUGACCGCCAUGAGGGCUAGGAUCACGUGACUUUAUGGGGUUCACAAAUGGAUUUUAAUGGAUGUAAACACACCGCAUCGUUGCACCAAAAGUCUUCAGGCUUAAAGUGAAGUUUCGAGUCCAUAUUUCACGGGGAAAACCAGUUCUUUGGAGAGGAUCUAAAGAAUGCCAAGAUUGAACCUCUGUCCUCUGUUUUGCAAGGCGGACCCAUAACCAGAUACACACUUUUAUGACUUUAAUGUGAGCAUGUUUUUCUUCUGUUAGAAUUGCAUCAUGCAUUGUAUAUAUAUGCUGUUAUUAUAUAUAAAAUAUAAUUUUAAAAGAAUACGGACAUUUUGAAAUCUUUAAAAGAUGUAUGAGGAUAUUAGCUUGAGGCUACAAUAUGUGAGGACUCGGAGUCUGUUCAAGCACUACUCCUUUAACAACUUGCAAGAGACUCAUGUAUGUUUUGACGAAAUUAAAAUCAUGAUAAAUGUUAAA